rnacentral:ncRNA from 1 species
AUGAUAGAGGCGCGACGCAUCAAGAGUACCGGUUUUGCCCCAGGCUUUCGCAGAGCUGUGCGGAUUGGGAAAGGGAUCGUCGCCGAAGGGGCCCGAGGCGGAAAGGUACCCUGGGCAGACGGUCAACAGCCGUCUGACUGUCGCAUUUGCGGAGUGCUAUGCGGAGUGCUAUCAG